rnacentral:tRNA from 1 species
UGGGGAGUAGCCAAGCGGUAAGGCAGGGGCCUUUGAAGCCCCCAUACGAAGGUUCGAUCCCUUCCUCCCCAG